rnacentral:lncRNA from 1 species
AGUGGAUAAUUGUUGAAGCUAAGUGAUAGGUAAAUGGAAGCUCAUUAUUCUACUCUGCAUACUUUUAUUUAUGUUUAAAAUUUUCCAUAAUAAAAAGUAAAAAAAAAAAGACAUAAUAAGGAGAGUAAAAGACAAAACACAAACUGGGAGAUCUUUACAACCCAUAUUACUGGCAAAGGGAUUAAUAUUCAAAUUAUGUAAAGAAUUACUACAAUUUAAUUUUUUAAUAAAGUUCUUCACUACCAUACUCUAAAUAGGCAAUUCAUAAAGGAGGAAGGAAACCUGAAGAGAUGCUCAACCACAAGGAAAUAUCAUUUCAUAUCUAUCACAUAACGAAAAAUUUUAAAGUUUGACAAUAUCACCAGAACAAUUAUACAUUAUGGUUGAAGUAUAAAUUGAUGUAUCAAUUUGGAAAAUAAUUUGAUCUUAUCUAGGAAACCUGAAGAUGCUUUUAUGGCCCAGGAGAAAUGUGUAUCAGGAUAUAUAAGCAAGAAAAUUCCUAACAAUUGCUUAUAACAAUAAAAAUUGGAAAUAAACCAACUGUGUAUCAACAGUAGAGUGGUUAAAUGUAUUGUGUACAGUACUACAACGUAGGGAAAAUGAAUCACAAAUCCAUGGACAUGGAUGAAUCACUAACAAUGUUGUGCAAAAUAACAAUUCAUAAAAGAGGAGUACAGUAGGAUUCCACGUUUACAAAUUAAAGAACCAAUAAAAGUAAACAGUAUUUUGAGUACAAACAUGAAAUAAGUCUAUAAAGUAAAAGAAUGAUAACCAAAAAAUCAAGAUAGUGAUCUUUAGCUGCAGAGGAAGGGAAUGGAUUAGGCAAGGGCAUACAAGGAACAUACAACAUGUGACUAUACAUGUUGGUUUAGUCAGAAUAGUCCUUGUUUGCCUAUUUUCCUAGUGUAAUAACUAAGAGCACCCUCUUUCACUCUCAGAAGGUCCUAGUUUUGAUACUAAAUUAUGUGUUCAUUCUUUUAAAAAUAACUUCCCUUUAACCUGGAUGGAGGGCAUAUGGAUCUUUGUUGUAUCAAUUUUCCCUAUAUCACACAUGUAUUUUAUGAAUUUCAUUUGAAACUAGCCAACAUUUUGUAAUGUAAUUUUAAGUUUAGCCAGUGACAGCAUGGUAAAACAAAAAUCUGUAUGCAGAGUAAAUGUAAGUAGGACUUGAAUGAAUCUGGACAAUGUGGAUGGAGAUAAAUGGCAUACUAUAUGCUUGGCAUUGUGUUAAACCUUUUACAGCUAUUUCUUCAUCUUCACUGCAUGCCUUUUAGGUAAGUAUUAUUAUUUCCAUUUCAUUCAUGAAGAAUCCGAGACACAAAAUGUAUGUGUAACUUAGCCAAAGUCUUACCAUGAUAGAGCAGAAUUUGAACUCAAUCAAUGUGACACAAGACUACAUGCUCUUGCAUGUGCACUCUUGUCCCUGAUUAUUAAUAUAAAAUAUUUCCACCUUUAAAAAAAAAAAAAAAAAAAGACUGCAUGUUCUUAAUCACAAUACCAGAAUCCUUACUAGACAUUCUUAACCUUUUUUUUGUGCCAUGGAUCCCUUUGGCAGUCAUGAAGCAUACAAAGCCCCCUUUCAGAAUUAUGUUUUUAAAUGCAUACGAUAUGCAUAGGAUUAUGAAUGAAAACAAUUAUACUGAAACACAGUAAUCAAAUUAUUCCAAAAAAAAAAACAAAACCUAGCAGAAGGUCAAAUAAUAUAUAUAAUUUUUAAAAUAGUAAACGCUAAUCUUGACAUUUCUACGACUAUAGUCAUGUGAUGGGAAAAGAUCUGAUUUUUAUUGGUGGAAAAGUCACCAGUACUUCUGAUAACACUGGUUUGUGCCCUAUAUUCACAAUUGAAAAAAAUGCUAAAUUUUCCUUAGAGGUUAGCAAAAAUUAAGGUGUAAUUUUUUGGCAUCAAAAUUCAGAGCCCUCUGUUUAAUGACCUUAAUUCAUAGGCUUUCUGACAAAUGUGUUACUUCAGAGGGGUCAUAUUCGCCAUCCUGUCUUUCACUUUCUGGUUUGGGAUUACACUCAAAAUGAGAUACACAAAUAAAUUAGUUUGUUAGAAAUAAAAUCUAUUUCUUCCUGUCAUGAACUUGAGUUAGGGGAUGAGAAACAUGACUAUUAGAAUGACUAGAUAUACACAUAGACAGUGGGAUGCUUGGAACUGCUUUAGAGUGUCUUAUUUGAGAGGUUUAAAACUGGUUCUAAACUUGUACUGCCACAUGCAAUUAUUCAUAAAGGAAUUCAUUAUUGAUAUCACAAUGCCCUAUAGGUAUACUGUUGGUCAAUACCUGUAGCAAUGCAACAAUCCAAAAAAGAAAAUUCAAAUAGCUGGACAUCUUUUAAAAGUUUCAUUAGGCUAAGAGCAAAAUAUCUGACAAGUUUUUGAUUUGCCUUUCUCAUGAUUUGAUGUCCCAGCAGAGCAACUGGGAACCUAAUUCUGACCAACAAGGAGGAAUUGCUUGUCUAAUUGGAAGUGACAGAAACCUUGGGAGAAAACAACCACAUACCAAGGAUAAUUAUAAGAAGGUAACAUGGGCCCUAAAGCAUAAAUGGGCUUUUAAAAAUUCUGUUCAAAGGAAGAUGAUCAAAGAAGGGAAAAGCCCACUUAACAGCAACUGGUGUAAAGUUAGAGCUGACAAGAAAGCAGACUCCCUAAAUGUUAUUUUGUUUCAUUCUCUACAAAGGAAACUUGAGAAGCAGGUUGACAUAGUAGAAAGAACUAUUUGUGUUUAUGGGGUUAAGCAAAUUUGGAUUUAAUUCUGUUUCAGCACUUAGUAGUUAUAUUAUUCUGGAUCUCCCUUUCCCUAUCUGUAAAGUGGAGAUAACUUUAUCUUUCUCAUAUGAUUGUUCUAGUGAUAGAAUUAAUACAUUCAAAACACUGAGCCAGGCUCACAGUAGUGCCUAAAUAAAUAGGAACUUCUUAACAUCCUUCAAAAGAGUAGUAUACAUAGUGACAAGAGAAGUAAUACUCUUCCCAAGUAGAAGAAGGAAUUCUAGAUGUUCCCACUGUGAUGCAGUGGAUUAAGGAUCUAGCAUGGCUGCAGCUGUGGUGUAGGUCACAGAUGUGGCUCAGAUUCAAUCCCUGUCCCUAGAACUUCCAUAUCCCAUGGGUGUG